rnacentral:rRNA from 1 species
CUUUUUGUAGAACGGGCCAACGAGUUACGUUAAGUAGCAAGGUUAAGCACUUAAGGUGCGGAGCCGUAGCGAAAGCGAGUUUUAACUGAGCGUUCAGUUACUUGACGUAGACCCGAAACCGGGCGACCUACCCAUGAGCAGGAUGAAGCGAAAGUAAAAUUUCGUGGAGGUCCGAACCCACGAGCGUUGAAAAGCUCGGGGAUGACUUGUGGGUAGCGGUGAAAUUCCAAUCGAGCCCGGAGAUAGCUGGUUCUCCCCGAAAUAGCUUUAGGGCUAGCCUCAAGGUGAGAGAUACGGAGGUAGAGCACUGAAUGUCCUAGGGGGUAUUGCACCUACCGAAGACUAUCAAACUCCGAAUGCCGUCAUCUUAUACUUGGGAGUCAGACUGUGGGUGAUAAGAUUCAUAGUCGAAAGGGCAACAGCCCAGAUCGUCAGCUAAGGUCCCUAAAUGUAAGUUAAGUGGUAAAGGAUGUGGGAUUGCACAGACAACCAGGAUGUUGGCUUAGAAGCAGCCACUCAUUCAAAGAGUGCGUAAUAGCUCACUGGUCGAGUGAUCCUGCGCCGAAGAUUUCCGGGGCUAAAACUUACUACCGAAGCUACGGCAUCAGUAAUGAUGGGUAGGGGAGCUUCCCAUACGGGUUGAAGCAUGACCGUAAGGACAUGUGGACAGUAUGGGAGUGAGAAUGUUGGCAUGAGUAGCGAGAUGUGGGUG